UGUCCCUCUCUGAGCCAGGAUGCUGGAAGAAAACAUCUGUCCCAGGCCUUGCAGCUCAGAGCCUAGAGGUAAACAAACAAAACGUGGUGGGCUGAGAGCUCCCAACAACGCCAGCCAGGGAAGCAAUCCAGAGGACGUGCAGUCAGACUGCCAAGGUGCUCCCUGCAAAGGCAGGGUGGCGGUAAAGCAGAGCAGGCUAAGGAGGCCGCAGACCCCGCGCCCCACGUUCCCCAGUUCUGUAGACUGGCCACAUUUCAGAGAGCCGGAGACACCAUCAGAAUGGAGGCGCUUCUCUGAAGGAUGGAAAAAUCGAUGCCCGCGGAUGAGCGGGUGCAAAGAAGGUGCAGACAGCAGCGCCGGGGAGAAGGCCAAGGGCAGGGGAGUCAGGCGCCUGGGGUCCCGCGGCUGUUCCCCAUCUCCUAGCACACACUCCGAGGCAGGUGUGGUCCGCCCAGCCCGGCGUCGUGGUUUUGGUUUUUAUCAUUUUGUUCUGAUUACCAAAGCUGUAAGAUGUGUGUGUAGAACGUCAAAAUCACCAAAGCCCUCCCCAGAGGUCACCUCCCUGUUAACGUGCAUAGUAAAUCCUCCCAGCCUUUUUUCCUCUGCAAUGGAAGGCACUUUUUAUUUCUGCAAAAAUAGGACGUGCUCCACCGCUUUGUUUCCAUCCGACACUCUGCUGCCCAGCAUCCGCCUGUUCUGUCACCUGGUGAUCUGAUGCUGCUCCAGGAAGUCAUCCCAUCGCUUGAUGGAUACGUGCACAGCGCAGGGCUUGAGGUCAGAAUCUUGGUCCCUUGGCCGUGUCACAUUGGACAGUUGGCCUCCACCCUCUGACCUCGCCACCCUCCUCUGUGUGGUUGGGGCCACUGAUGCCAGCCUUACAGCCUUACUGUGAGAAUUACAUGAGGUCAGAGGCAGAAAGUACUCAUUCCUUGUGGGCACCUCAAAAGUAUUCCAUCCAUUGUGGGUAUUACUAUUUUUGGUCUCUCUGGUUAUAGAGCUAAAGCAUCAUUUACUUAGCCAACCCUCUCUCGUAGACCAUUGAGGUUGUUUAUUCAAAUAUCCUUAAAGAAGGCUUUUGUGAAUAUCCUUGCCGAGAAAUCUUUAACAAAUCCUCAAUUAUUAAUGUUGAGUAAUUUCUAGGAGGAAAGUUAGACAUGUUAGGAGCAGGCACACUCUAGGGCCAGUCUGUCUGUCUGCAUACUGCCUCGCGGCCCUCCUGAAAAUGUUCUGAUGGCAGUGUGCUAGGACUGCCAUGGCAAAUUAUCACGAACCUGGGGGUUUAAAAUAACAGAAAUGCAUUCCCUCACGUAUCUGGAGGCUGGAAGUCCAAAAUCAAGCUGUUAGCAGGAC
rnacentral:lncRNA from 1 species